CCUACGGGAGGCAGCAGUGGGGAAUAUUGGACAAUGGGGGAAACUCUGAUGCAGCGACGCAGCGUGAGUGAAGAAGUAUUUCGGUAUGUAAAGCUCUGUCAGCAGGGGAGAAAAUGACGGUACCUGACCAAGAAGCCCCGGCUAACUACGUGCCAGCAGCCGCGGUAAUAUGGAGGGGGCAGGCGUUAUCCGGAUUUACUGGGUGUAAAGGGAGCGUAGACGGCAGGGCAAGUGUGGAGUGAAAGGCGGGGGCUCAACCCCCGGACUGCUCUGGAAACUGGCAGGCUGGAGUGCAGGGGAGGUAAGUGGAAUUCGUAGUGUAGCGGUGAAAUGCGUAGAUAUUAGGAAGAACACCAGUGGCGAAGGCAGCUUACUGGACUGUUACUGACGUUGAGGCUCGAAGGCGUGGGGAACGAACAGGAUUAGAUACCCCGGUAGUC
rnacentral:rRNA from 1 species